CGCCUUUAGCCAAACAAGUAUUAAAGGUCCUGCCUGCCCAGUGAAAAAUUUUAACGGCCGCGGUACCCUAACCGUGCAAAGGUAGCAUAAUCACUUGUCCCCUAAUUAGGGACCAGCAUGAAUGGCCAACCGAGGGCAGCCCUGUCUCCUAUGGCCAAUCAAUUAAACUGAUCUUCUAGUACAAAAGCUAGAAUAACACCAUAAGACGAGAAGACCCUGUGGAGCUUCAGGCCCAGUACUACCCGCUAACCAAAUACAAUAGUGCCUAGGCCUUAAGUUGGGGCGACUACGGAGAAUAAUAAAUCCUCCACGACAAACUACCCUCUACCCAGGACCACAACCCAAAAAGAACCAACCACCGACCCAGCACCGCUGAUUUUCGAACCAAGUUACCCCAGGGAUAACAGCGCUAUCCCCUUCAAGAGUCCAUAUCGCCAAGGGGGCUUACGACCUCGAUGUUGUAUCAGGGCCCCCCAGUGGUGCAGCCGCUACUAAAGGUCCGUUUGUUCAACGGCUAACGCCCU
rnacentral:rRNA from 1 species